AUGGCAUAUCAUCUCGGCUGGAUCAUCAUUUUAGCAAUUUGGGAAGGUGUCCAUUCGGAAAUAGUUCUGACCCAAAGAGGUUCCGAGCUGAAGAGGCCUGGCGAGUCUGUUCGGCUGACAUGUGCCACCAGUGGUUUUGUUGUGACUAACUAUUGGAUGGCUUGGGUCAGACAGAAGCCGGGGAAAGGCCUGGAAUGGCUGGUACAGUACUGGAAAUCUUCUGAAACCAAUUACUAUUCACCCAGCAUCCAAGGCAGAUUCACAGCCUCCAAGGACAGCUCCAAUUUUUAUUUGCAAAUGAACAGCCUGAAAGUGGAGGACACUGCGGUAUAUUACUGUGCAAGAGACACAGUGAAGGAAAAAUAUCAACUGUCAUACAAAAAGCCUUCUGGAGAACUGACUGUGGAAGGGGUUUCCUGA